rnacentral:rRNA from 1 species
GUGAACGCUGGCGGUAGGCCUAACACAUGCAAGUCGAACGGCAGCACAGUAAGAGCUUGCUCUUACGGGUGGCGAGUGGCGGACGGGUGAGGAAUACAUCGGAAUCUACUUUUUCGUGGGGGAUAACGUAGGGAAACUUACGCUAAUACCGCAUACGACCUACGGGCGAAAGCAGGGGAUCUUCGGACCUUGCGCGAUUGAACGAGCCGAUGUCGGAUUAGCUAGUUGGCGGGGUAAAGGCCCACCAAGGCGACGAUCCGUAGCUGGUCUGAGAGGAUGAUCAGCCACACUGGAACUGAGACACGGUCCAGACUCCUACGGGAGGCAGCAGUGGGGAAUAUUGGACAAUGGGCGCAAGCCUGAUCCAGCCAUACCGCGUGGGUGAAGAAGGCCUUCGGGUUGUAAAGCCCUUUUGUUGGGAAAGAAAAGCAGCAGGUUAAUACCCCGCUGUUCUGACGGUACCCAAAGAAUAAGCACCGGCUAACUUCGUG